AUUGAACGCUGGCGGCAGGCCUAACACAUGCAAGUCGAGCGGAGCGGCGGACGGGUGAGUAAUGCCUAGGAAUCUGCCUGGUAGUGGGGGAUAACGUCCGGAAACGGGAGCUAAUACCGAAUACUAUAGGAAGAGCCUAGGUCGGAUUAGCUAGUGGGUGGGGUAAAGGCAUACCAAGGCGACGGUCCGUAACUGGUCUGAGAGGAUGAGCAGUAACACUGGAACUGAGACACGUUCCAGACUCCUACGGGAGGCAGCAGUGGGGAAUAUUGGACAAUUGGCGAAAGCCUGAUCCAGCCAUGCCGCGUGUGUGAAGAAGGUCUUCGGAUUGUAAAGCACUUUAAGUUGGGAGGCGUUACCAACAGAAUAAGCACCGGCUAACUUCGUGCCAGCAGCCGCGGUAAUAC
rnacentral:rRNA from 1 species